UACGUAGGGGGCUAGCGUUGUCCGGAUUUAUUGGGCGUAAAGAGCGUGUAGGCGGCCAGGUAGGUCUGCUGUGAAAACUCGAGGCUUAACCUCGAGAUGUCGGCGGAAACCAUCUGGCUAGAGUCCGGAAGAGGAGAGUGGAAUUCCUGGUGUAGCGGUGAAAUGCGCAGAUAUCAGGAAGAACACCCGUGGCGAAGUCGGCUCUCUGGGACGGUACUGACGCUGAGACGCGAAAGCGUGGGGAGCGAACAGG
rnacentral:rRNA from 1 species